UACGGAGGAUCCAAGCGUUAUCCGGAUUUAUUGGGUUUAAAGGGUGCGUAGGCGGCGUUGUAAGUCAGUGGUGAAAGUUUUCAGCUUAACUGGAAAAUUGCCAUUGAUACUGCAGUGCUUGAGUACAGAUGAGGUGGGCGGAAUGUGUCAUGUAGCGGUGAAAUGCAUAGAUAUGACACAGAACACCGAUUGCGAAGGCAGCUCACUAAGCUGUAACUGACGCUGAGGCACGAAAGCGUGGGGAUCAAACAGG
rnacentral:rRNA from 1 species